UGAUAGGUUAAGAGCUGAUUAACUGGACGUUACCCACAGAAGAAGCACCGGCUAACUCCGUGCCAGCAGCCGCGGUAAUACGGAGGGUGCGAGCGUUAAUCGGAAUUACUGGGCGUAAAGGGUGCGUAGGUGGUUGAUUAAGUUAUCUGUGAAAUUCCUGGGCUUAACCUGGGACGGUCAGAUAAUACUGGUUGACUCGAGUAUGGGAGAGGGUAGUGGAAUUUCCGGUGUAGCGGUGAAAUGCGUAGAGAUCGGAAGGAACACCAGUGGCGAAGGCGGCUACCUGGCCUAAUACUGACACUGAGGCACGAAAGCGUGGGGAGCAAACAGGAUUAGAUACCCUGGUAGUCCACGCUGUAAACGAUGUCAACUAGCUGUUGGUUAUAUGAAAAUAAUUAGUGG
rnacentral:rRNA from 1 species